GAGACUUCUCGUAGCGCUGUUUUCUGAUUGGCUAUCGUGUACCUGCAAUGCGUCAAUUUCACUUUUAAACUCCAACCGUCUGCCGCGUGCAAUGGUCACAAGCUCACAAUACGAUCGGAUUCUCACGUGGAUGCUCUGCAUCAAGGAAAAAAAUAUUUAUUCAGACACUCGUCUCUCGACACUUAUUAUGCUAUCUUAUCACAUGAGUAGUGGGUGCCCCUUCCCGAGGCCGUUUCCUCGUUGUUUUCCACCUACAUUGGGUACGUUUGUCCUUCCCUGCAUAUAAUGUAUACUUUGUACAAAACUGAAGGGUUGUACGACCCUGAUGGCUAAAUGAAUAAACUUUUUUUUGCAUUUUACUAAACCACCCCCC